CCAAGAUGCUGUGUGGGCCCUCAGGCUCUCAGCUUGUCCUGCUCAAGCUGGAGAGAUCUGUGACCCUGAACCAGCGUGUGGCCCUGAUCUGCCUGCCGCCUGAAUGAUAUGUGGUGCCUCCAGGGACCAAGUGUGAGAUUGCAGGCCGGGGUGAGACCAAAGGUACGGGUAAUGACACAGUCCUAAAUGUGGCCUUGCUGAAUGUCAUCUCCAACCAGGAGUGUAACAUCAAGCACCGAGGACAUGUGCGGGAGAGCGAGAUGUGCACUGAGGGACUGUUGGCCCCUGUGGGGGCCUGUGAGGUUGGUGGCAG
rnacentral:lncRNA from 1 species